rnacentral:rRNA from 1 species
ACGUAGGGGGCGAGCGUUGUUCGGAUUUACUGGGCGUAAAGAGCGCGUAGGUGGUUCGAUAAGUCGGAGGUGAAAUCCCUCGGCUCAACCGAGGAUCCGCGUCCGAUACUGUCGGACUUGAGUGCAGGAGAGGAGAGCGGAAUUCCCAAUGUAGCGGUGAAAUGCGUAGAUAUUGGGAGGAACACCGGUGGCGAAGGCGGCUCUCUGGACUGCUACUGACACUGAGGCGCGAAAGCUAGGGGAGCAAACGG